rnacentral:rRNA from 1 species
UACGAAGGGGGCUAGCGUUGCUCGGAAUCACCGGGCGUAAAGCGCACGUAGGCGGAUUGCUAAGUCAGGGGUGAAAUCCUGGAGCUCAACUCCAGAACUGCCUUUGAUACUGGCGACCUUGAGUCCGGGAGAGGUGAGUGGAACUGCGAGUGUAGAGGUGAAAUUCGUAGAUAUUCGCAAGAACACCAGUGGCGAAGGCGGCUCACUGGCUCGGUACUGACGCUGAGGUGCGAAAGCGUGGGGAGCAAACAGG